AGCGAACGCUGGCGGCAGGCCUAACACAUGCAAGUCGAGCGAACUCUUCGGAGUUAGUGGCGGACGGGUGAGUAACACGUGGGAACGUGCCUUUUGGUUCGGAAUAACUCAGGGAAACUUGUGCUAAUACCGAAUGUGCCCUUCGGGGGAAAGAUUUAUCGCCAUUAGAGCGGCCCGCGUCUGAUUAGCUAGUUGGUGAGGUAACGGCUCACCAAGGCGACGAUCAGUAGCUGGUCUGAGAGGAUGACCAGCCACACUGGGACUGAGACACGGCCCAGACUCCUACGGGAAGCAGCAGUGGGGAAUCUUGCGCAAUGGGCGAAAGCCUGACGCAGCCAUGCCGCGUGAAUGAUGAAGGUCUUAGGAUUGUAAAAUUCUUUCACCGGGGACGAUAAUGACGGUACCCGGAGAAGAAGCCCCGGCUAACUUCGUG
rnacentral:rRNA from 1 species